AUUGAACGCUGGCGGCAUGCUUUACACAUGCAAGUCGAACGGCAGCGCGGGCUUCGGCCUGGCGGCGAGUGGCGAACGGGUGAGUAAUGCAUCGGAACGUGCCCAGUAGUGGGGGAUAGCCCGGCGAAAGCCGGAUUAAUACCGCAUACGACCUGAGGGUGAAAGCGGGGGACCGAAAGGCCGCGCGCUAUUGGAGCGGCCGAUGUCGGAUUAGCUAGUUGGUGGGGUAAAGGCUUACCAAGGCGACGAUCCGUAGCUGGUCUGAGAGGACGACCAGCCACACUGGGACUGAGACACGGCCCAGACUCCUACGGGAGGCAGCAGUGGGGAAUUGUGGACAAUGGGGGCAACCCUGAUCCAGCCAUGCCGCGUGCGGGAAGAAGGCCUUCGGGUUGUAAACCGCUUUUGUUCGGGAAGAAAUCCUCUGGGCUAAUACCCCGGGGGGAUGACGGUACCGGAAGAAUAAGCACCGGCUAACUACGUG
rnacentral:rRNA from 1 species